CAAAGUAGAAUCAUAGGUGUAAAUGUGGCUGUCCUCCACUACUUUUAGCUCCUUAUGAUAACGGUGUGAGGAAGAUCCAUCUCCCAGAGGAACCUGCCAGCUCUGCAAGAACACAGGAUGACUCAGAGACCUUCAUGUCCUCUGCAGUGGAUGUGGGCGGCCUUGUUGAGUCACAAGAGAGAGGUGCUGAACAGGAUCUUGUGAGAAC